GUCAGUCUCCUGGUUGUGACUCAAGUUGGUGCCUGCGCAUCUUUGAUACCCUGGUACUGACCUGCAGGCUAUCAAUUCCUAUAUCGGAUGGUAAUGCUCAGUGCAUCUGCUGUCUUGGGGAAACCCAUAUACCACAGA